GACGAACGCUGGCGGCGUGCUUAACACAUGCAAGUCGAACGGAAAGGCCCUGCUUUUAUGGGUGCUCGAGUGGCGAACGGGUGAGUAACACGUGAGUAACCUGCCCUUGACUUUGGGAUAACUUCAGGAAACUGGGGCUAAUACCGGAUAGGAGCUCCUGCUGCAUGGUGGGGGUUGGAAAGUUUCGGCGGUUGGGGAUGGACUCGCGGCUUAUCAGCUUGUUGGUGGGGUAGUGGCUUACCAAGGCUUUGACGGGUAGCCGGCCUGAGAGGGUGACCGGCCACAUUGGGACUGAGAUACGGCCCAGACUCCUACGGGAGGCAGCAGUGGGGAAUAUUGCACAAUGGGCGGAAGCCUGAUGCAGCAACGCCGCGUGCGGGAUGACGGCCUUCGGGUUGUAAACCGCUUUCGCCUGUGACGAAGCGUGAGUGACGGUAAUGGGUAAAGAAGCACCGGCUAACUACGUG
rnacentral:rRNA from 1 species